rnacentral:rRNA from 1 species
UACGUAGGGGGCAAGCGUUGUCCGGAUUAUUGGGCGUAAAGAGCGUGUAGGCGGCUAGAUAGGUCCGUUGUGAAAACUCGAGGCUCAACCUCGAGACGUCGAUGGAAACCAUCUGGCUAGAGUCCGGAAGAGGAGAGUGGAAUUCCUGGUGUAGCGGUGAAAUGCGCAGAUAUCAGGAAGAACACCCGUGGCGAAGGCGGCUCUCUGGUACGUGACUGACGCUGAGACGCGAAAGCGUGGGGAGCAAACAGG